rnacentral:rRNA from 1 species
UACGGAGGGUGCAAGCGUUAUCCGGAUUCACUGGGUUUAAAGGGUGCGUAGGUGGGCAGGUAAGUCAGUGGUGAAAUCUCCGAGCUUAACUCGGAAACUGCCAUUGAUACUAUCUGUCUUGAAUUUUCUGGAGGUGAGCGGAAUAUGUCAUGUAGCGGUGAAAUGCUUAGAUAUGACAUAGAACACCCAUUGCGAAGGCAGCUCGCUACACGAAUAUUGACUCUGAGGCACGAAAGCGUGGGGAUCAAACAGG